rnacentral:rRNA from 1 species
GACGAACGCUGGCGGCGUGCUUAACACAUGCAAGUCGAACGGAAAGGCCAUGAUUUUGUGGGGUGCUCGAGUGGCGCAGGGGUGAGUAACACGUGAGUAACCUGCCCUUGACUUUGGGAUAACUUCAGGAAACUGGGGCUAAUACCGGAUAGGAGCUACUGAUGCAUGGUGGGGGUUGGUAAGUUUCGGCGGUUGGGGCUGGACUCGCGGCUUAUCCGCUUGUUGGUGGGGUAGUGGCUUACCAAGGCUUUGACGGGUAGCCGGCCUGAGAGGGUGACCGGCCACAUGGGGACUGAGAUACGGCCCAGACUCCUACGGGAGGCAACAGUGGGGAAUAUUGCGCAAUGGGCGGAAGCCUGAUGCAGCAACGCCGCGUUCGGGAUGACGGCCUUCGGGUUGUAAACCGCUUUCGCCUGUGACGAAGCGUGAGUGACGGUAAUGGGUAAAGAAGCACCGGCUAACUACGUG